UCCGGUGCUUUUGCAUGCAGGACAAUGUGGUGUUUAAGCUAGUGCCUGAAGCUGCCAGCCUACCCGAAGUCCAACUCCGAUUGUGGCUUUGGAUUUUGCCCAUAGCGGGUGAUAGGCCCGUACGGGUAGGCUCUCAUUGUGCAUGCAGUUUUCAGAUGCGCUUGCUUUCGAGUCGGAUUGCUUGAGAAUGCAGUCCAAAGUGGGUGGUAAACUCCAUCCAAGGCUAAAUACUGGCACGAGUCCGAUAGUAGACAAGUACCGUGAGGGAAAGUUGAAAAGUACUCUGAAGAGAGAGUAAAUAGUACGUGAAGCCGGUUGCAGAGAAGCUGGUGGAGUCAAGCUUCAUGCUUGAGAGAUUUUUAUCUGUAGCAUUGUGUUGUUAGAUAAUGGGGCUUAAUCAGCUUGGAAUUAGUUGGACGCAUUCGUGUGUUUCAAGUCAUUCUGGGGGGUUGUGUGCUUGAAUUUGGUCCUAUGUAUCUGUUACAGGUAAUCUAUCUCUCGCUGCAUAAAUCACAGUCGGUAGCAUGUGCUACGUGCUGUAUGGUUGUCUAACUGUGCUUUGAUUGGCUUAAUCGUCUAUCGGGUGCAGGAUGGCAGGUGGAGUAUAUGGGUCUCGUGCUUAUAUACUCUUAUUAUGGUUUAUACUAGCUGAUAACCAUGCAGUAUCGUUGCUAUCGUUAUUUCAUGAUGCAUUGUCCCAGGUUAGUGUAUCAUUAAUAACUGUGAUUCUGAGGUAGACCUUCCACCAGAC
rnacentral:rRNA from 1 species